rnacentral:rRNA from 1 species
UAGGGAAUCUUCCNCAAUGGGCGAAAGCCUGACGGAGCAACGCCGCGUGAGUGAAGAAGGAUUUCGGUUCGUAAAGCUCUGUUGUUAGGGAAGAAUGAUUGUGUAGUAACUAUACACAGUAGAGACGGUACCUAACCAGAAAGCCACGGCUAACUACGUGCCAGCAGCCGCGGUAAUACGUAGGUGGCAAGCGUUGUCCGGAAUUAUUGGGCGUAAAGCGCGCGCAGGUGGUUUAAUAAGUCUGAUGUGAAAGCCCACGGCUCAACCGUGGAAGGGUCAUUGGAAACUGUUAAACUUGAGUGCAGGAGAGAAAAGUGGAAUUCCUAGUGUAGCGGUGAAAUGCGUAGAGAUUAGGAGGAACACCAGUGGCGAAGGCGGCUUUUUGGCCUGUAACUGACACUGAGGCGCGAAAGCGUGGGGACAAACAGGAUUAGAUACCCUGGUAGUCCACGCCGUAAACGAUGAGUGCUAAGUGUUGGUCUCAUAAGAGAUCAGUGCUGCAGCCUAACGCAUUAAGCACUCCGCCUGGGGGAGAACGACCGCAAGGUUG